GGGGGAUAUUGCACAAUGGGGGAAACCCUGAUGCAGCGACGCCGCGUGGAGGAAGAAGGUUUUCGGAUUGUAAACUCCUGUCGUUAGGGACGAUAAUGACGGUACCUAACAAGAAAGCACCGGCUAACUACGUGCCAGCAGCCGCGGUAAAACGUAGGGUGCAAGCGUUGUCCGGAAUUACUGGGUGUAAAGGGAGCGCAGGCGGACCGGCAAGUUGGAAGUGAAAACUAUGGGCUCAACCCAUAAAUUGCUUUCAAAACUGCUGGCCUUGAGUAGUGCAGAGGUAGGUGGAAUUCCCGGUGUAGCGGUGGAAUGCGUAGAUAUCGGGAGGAACACCAGUGGCGAAGGCGACCUACUGGGCACCAACUGACGCUGAGGCUCGAAAGCAUGGGUAGCAAACAGGAUUAGAUACCCUGGUAGUCCAUGUCGUAAACGAUGAUUACUAGGUGUUGGAGGAUUGACCCCUUCAGUGCCGCAGUUAACACAAUAAGUAAUCCACCUGGGGAGUACGACCGCAAGGUUGAAACUCAAAGGAAUUGACGGGGGCCCGCACAAGCAGUGGAGUAUGUGGUUUAAUUCGAAGCAACGCGAAGAACCUUACCAGGUCUUGACAUCCGAUGCAUAGUGCAGAGAUGCAUGAAGUCCUUCGGGACAUCGAGACAGGUGGUGCAUGGUUGUCGUCAGCUCGUGUCGUGAGAUGUUGGGUUAAGUCCCGCAACGAGCGCAACCCUUAUUGCCAGUUACUACGAAAGAGGACUCUGGCGAGACUGCCGUUGACAAAACGGAGGAAGGUGGGGAUGACGUCAAAUCAUCAUGCCCUUUAUGACCUGGGCUACACACGUACUACAAUGGCCGAUAACAAAGUGCAGCGAAACCGUGAGGUGGAGCGAAUCACAAAACUCGGUCUCAGUUCAGAUUGCAGGCUGCAACUCGCCUGCAUGAAGUUGGAAUUGCUAGUAAUCGCGGAUCAGAAUGCCGCGGUGAAUACGUUCCCG
rnacentral:rRNA from 1 species